GCAAAAGAAAUUCCUGAUGAUUAUUUUGUCGUCUUGGUUGGAGAUAUGAUCACAGAAGAAGCUCUUCCAACAUACCAGACAAUGCUUAAUACUCUAGAUGGAGUUCGGGAUGAGACUGGUGCAAGCCUCACCUCCUGGGCAAGAUGGACUAGGGCAUGGACUGCUGAAGAGAACAGGCAUGGAGACCUUCUAAACAAGUAUCUUUAUCUCUCUGGACGAGUAGAUAUGAAACAAAUUGAGAAGACAAUUCAGUAUCUUAUAGGAUCAGGAAUGGUGAGAUUUUGUUUCCUCUCGUUCUUUCAGUUUUAUUAUUUCUGAGCACUUAUGUUCAGUUGCUUUUCUUUAGACACUUUGAAAUUUUGGUAUUGCAGGUUAGCUUUUGAAAUUAUAUUGAAUCUGUGUAGGAUGCAACUUUCUAGACUACUUGGAGUAUCUUUGUUGUCUUCUAUUUUUCCUUUUCCUUUCUUUUUUGUUUGUUUGCUUUGCUUUGCAUUGACUAGAAGACUGGGAGGGGCAUGAAAACCUUUCUGGCCACUACGUCUCAGAACAGGAAAUACAAGAAACAAUUAUAAAGUUUAGGGCAUCCGGCAUCUCAUAGCCUGAAAAUUUGUGUUAUUUCGAUCUUUUUCUGGAAGUCUGGAAAUCAAUAUCAGUAACUACUAACUAGGAUUACUAAAUUUCUUGUUAAUGUACAAUUUAUGUCUGAUCUCAUGCCUCAUCUUGGAAAUUUGAGCCAUCUGUCUGUGCCAUCCUACCAACUACUGUAUGGAGUAGUAAUCGGUCACUAUCAUUCUAUUUGGACAACAUGUAAUCUCAUCAGUUAUCACUGCAGUGGUAUAGACAAACACACUGAAGAAACAUUCUUCAGAAAGAUCCCACCUACUGUAUAAUAUAUUAAUAUAUACACCUUAUCCCCUGAUUAAACUCCCUGUUGGCAUGCACCUUCUAAACACGAGUAGUAUUAUUAGGAGAUAACAUUGAGACCCAGAAGAAAGAGAUUUCACUGCCUCCAUCAGUAAUGUUGAAUUAAUCUACACUCUUGUAGUUAUUCUAAGUGUAUAUGAAUCAAUCUAUACUUAUGUUAGAGUAUAGAUCAACUUUCUGGGUGUGUUAGAGUAUUGACAAUUCCUUAUUUGUAUCAUUGUUUCGAUUAUGGUCAUCACCUUAAAUUUGUUGCGUAUGUUUAGGAUCCUAAAACGGAGAACAAUCCCUACCUUGGUUUCAUUUAUACUUCAUUUCAAGAAAGGGCCACCUUCAUCUCCCAUGGGAACACAGCCAGGCACGCUAAAGAGCAUGGGGACCUGAAAUUGGCUCAGAUAUGUGGCACCAUUGCCUCGGAUGAAAAACGUCAUGAAACUGCCUAUACAAAGAUUGUGGAGAAGCUCUUUGAGAUAGACCCGAAUGGCACUGUCUUAGCUUUAGCUGACAUGAUGAAGAAAAAAAUAUCAAU
rnacentral:lncRNA from 1 species